CCUAUGAUGCGAUGGGGGGACGGAGAAGGUUAGGUUAGCCAUCUGUUGGAAUAGGUGGUUUAAGCGUGUAGGCGUGCUCUUUAGGCAAAUCCGGAGAGCUUAGCUGAGGCGUGAUGACGAGCUCUCUUUGAGAGCGAAGUAACUGAUACCCUGCUUCCAGGAAAAGCCUCUAAGCUUCAGUCAUAGAGUGACCGUACCGCAAACCGACACAGGUGGGCAGGUAGAAGAUACUAAGGCGCUUGAGAGAACUCAGGAGAAGGAACUCGGCAAAUUGAUACCGUAACUUCGGGAGAAGGUAUGCCCCAUUAGCUUGUAGGAGAACAUCCGAAGGGCGAAGGGGCCGCAGAGAAUCGGUGGCUGCGACUGUUUAUUAAAAACACAGCACUCUGCAAACACGAAAGUGGACGUAUAGGGUGUGACGCCUGCCCGGUGCCGGAAGGUUAAGUGAUGGGGUGCAAGCUCUUGAUCGAAGCCCCGGUAAACGGCGGCCGUAACAAUAACGGUCCUAAGGUAGCGAAAUUCCUUGUCGGGUAAGUUCCGACCUGCACGAAUGGCGUAACGAUGGCCACACUGUCUCCUCCUGAGACUCAGCGAAGUUGAAGUGUUUGUGAAGAUGCAAUCUACCCGCGGCUAGACGGAAAGACCCCAUGAACCUUUACUGUAGCUUUGCAUUGGACUUUGACGGGACUUGUGUAGGAUAGGUGGGAGGCGAUGAGACCGGGACGCUAGUUCCGGUGGAGCCGUCCUUGAAAUACCACCCUGGUGUCGUUGAGGUUCUAACCUAGGUCCAUCAUCUGGAUCGGGGACCGUGCAUGGUAGGCAGUUUGACUGGGGCGGUCUCCUCCCAAAAGGUAACGGAGGAGUACGAAGGUCUUCUAGGUGCGGUCGGACAUCGUACUGAUAGUGCAAUGGCAAAAGAAGGCUUGACUGCGAGACCGACAAGUCGAGCAGGUGCGAAAGCAGGUCAUAGUGACCCGGUGGUUCUGUAUGGAAGGGCCAUCGCUCAACGGAUAAAAGGUACUCUGGGGAUAACAGGCUGAUUCCGCCCAAGAGUUCACAUCGACGGCGGAGUUUGGCACCUCGUGUCGGCUCAUCACAUCCUGGGGCUGUAGCCGGUCCCAAGGGUAUGGCUGUUCGCCAUUUAAAGUGGUACGUGAGCUGGGUUUAAAACGUCGUGAGACAGUUUGGUCCCUAUCUGCCGUGGCGCUGGAUAUUUGAGGGGGCCUGCUCCUAGUACGAGAGGACCGGAGUGGACGAAUCUCUGAUGUACCGGUUGUGACGCCAGUCGCAUCGCCGGGUAGCUAAGUUCGGAAGAGAUAACCGCUGAAAGCAUCUAAGCGGGAAACUCGCCUCGAGAUAAGAUAUCCCUGGGAACUUGAUUCCCCUAAAGGGUCGUUGAAGGCCACGACGUUGAUAGGCUGG
rnacentral:rRNA from 1 species